AGUCCUGAUAAGUUGGCUCGUUGAGUCUC
rnacentral:sRNA from 1 species